rnacentral:rRNA from 1 species
CAGUCGCCGCGGGAAUACGAAGGGUGCAAGCGUUAAUCGGAAUUACUGGGCGUAAAGCGUGCGUAGGCGGUUUGUUAAGUCUGUUGUGAAAUCCCCGGGCUCAACCUGGGAAUGGCAAUGGAUACUGGCAAGCUAGAGUGUGUCAGAGGAUGGUGGAAUUCCCGGUGUAGCGGUGAAAUGCAUAGAGAUCGGGAGGAACAUCAGUGGCGAAGGCGGCCAUCCGGGACAACACUGACGCUGAGGCACGAAAGCGUGGGGAGCAAACAGGAUUAGAUACCCCUGUAGUCCCUGUCUCUUAUAC